UUUAUUUAUUUAUGUAUUUAUGUAUGUAUGUAUUUAUUUAUUUAUUUAUUUAUUAUUAUUAUUAUUAACUUCAGCCUAUGCAAAGUACAAAGUUAUUGACUAACCUGGUACUUUCUCUCUUACAUGUAACCAAGUGCCAUUGAGAAGGGACUACUAAGAGGUUCCAUUGUGUUUUGAUAAACAUCUUGUCUCAAGAACCAGCAUAACUUGAAAUUCAUGGAUACUGGGGAGUCUUAGCUGGGACCACUGAGAUGCAGCCAGACUGCAGCACAUGAAGGAAGUAUCAUUAUUUGCAUUCAGUAAAUUAGGAGAAUAGAAGUAUUUCCCAGUGAUGGGGCUUCCUCAAAGCCUUCCUGCCUCUCUGUGGCAGAUCUGUGAAAAAUGAAGAUAAAAAUCCCAUGAAUCCCAAAAAAGGGCAGCACAGCAUCUCAGCUGAGAGUGCAGCUCCUCCUUGGACAUCUCUGCUCACCUCAUGUGUUCAUCCUUGUGCAGACAUGCAGCUGCCAGGUAUUGGAGGGCACAGCCCUGGAGCAG
rnacentral:lncRNA from 1 species